AAUCCAUGUAUUCGAAUCAGUUGGUUUGAGACUUAACAGUCUCAACUGAAGUCUUAUAAGGAAAAUCCUUGACCGCCAGAUGAUCAAAAGCAAACACAUCAAACAAAAGAAAAGUAGAAUUGCACCAAGUAAUGCAACAUUCCUACUCCAAAAAUGAUGAUCCUCCUCAAAGCUGCAGAAAUGGCACUUCUUCAUCAAGCCUUCUUGAAGAAUUUAGAGAAUCGUAAGGAGUUCUACUUCCUUAUUACAUGGAUUUUCUGUCCGAAAUCAUGUCAUGCAUUAAAAUUCGCAGAUUCUACUGAAGUACAUUCACUUGAUUCUUGCGUUGCGAGCGCUCGUAUUUCGAGUCCCGCUGCCAGCUAAAGCAGUUUAGUUGUUGAUCUAUAAGAGCCACUGUUAGCCGCCUUGGUGCACCUCUAGCAUGCCUUGGCCUUAAAAUGAGGUGAGCAUCUACCGGAAGGCCUUCACCAAAAUCUGCCAUCCACCCCCUGACUCCAUCAUCCACCAUGCCUCGCAAAAUCUGCU